rnacentral:tRNA from 1 species
GCUGGGCGAUGCGCUGUGGGAGCGGGUCGGCCGCGAGCCGUCCGGCACCGCGUUCAAUUCGCUCGUUCAGCUC